rnacentral:lncRNA from 10 species
ACUUUCUCCUUCUCCUGCAGCUCCCUGCUGAGCCUGGUGGGGAGAAGGGGGACAACGGGUAAAACCAAGGUCACCGAAGCCAACCUGUCCUGACUAUGGCUCAUAGGAAAAGCCAAGUAAGACAGUUCCCGGGCCUGAUCCUGAAUCAGGGAAUCAUAUUUCCUAAUGCAGGACAGAAGAGGAAAGUGUGUGGAAUUGGCCAACAGCAUCCAAAUGUGACAGCUGACUCCAGGGAGGGGUGAGCCCCACACCCUGUGCUCUUACCAGGACUGGUGGUUUCCUCCCGUUCAGCCUCAUUCUCGCUUCGGCCACAAGUCUCAUAGCCCAGGUCCUGGAGGUCCACCUGGAUCUGCUUGCUGUCCUGCUUCACCAAGGAUUCACCUGCUUGGGAAGAGAAGCAGGUGUUACAGAAUGUCUGAAUUUCCCACAUAUGCCCUCAGCCUCAAUGGCACAUACCCUAACCUUUUGAGGCACGGAAGGCAGAUCCACAGUGGGAGAGAAGCUUCUCUGAACUGGUGGGAGAAGAGAUCACCAGCUCCAGGAAGCAGAAUUUCUUUCCAAAGGAGGAGCCUGCAUUUGCCAUUAUCUCCCCUUCAGAUAACCCAGGCUUUAGUUGGGACCAGAUAUCUGUAAGUCAGGGAUUGUACACUAUCAUCUCUAGCAGCCCCAUUGAAGCUGGCAAGUGCUUUAUCCGCAGGGGUUCAAUAAAUGUUGAAUGGAGCUGAACUAAUUUAGAGUCCCAAGACCCUAGACCUGUACUGUCCAAUAAGGUAGUUAGCAGCCACAUAUGGCCACUUUAUACUACAUCAACUAAAAUUAAAUAAAACCAAAUGUCCAAGUUGCACUAGCCACACUUCGUGUGCUCAAUAACCACGUUAUGUCGGUAUAGAACAUACAGAACUUAUAAGACAUAUAGGCUAGUUUUCUUUACUAGUAAGUCAUAGUUACUUACUAAGCAUAACUCUGUAUUUCUCCAGCUCGUUAGCCUGAGCAAAGACAGUGGCUUCUGAUAGCAGCAGC